GCAGCUGUAGCUCAGUUGGUUAGAGCGCCUGACUGUGGAUCAGGAGGUCGGAGGUUCAAGUCCCCCCAGCUGUACCA
rnacentral:tRNA from 1 species